AAUGGGCGCAAGCCUGAUCCAGCCAUACCGCGUGUGUGAAGAAGGCCUUCGGGUUGUAAAGCACUUUAAGUAAGGAAGAAAAGAGUAUUGUUAAUACCAUUACUCCGUGACAUUACUUACAGAAUAAGGACCGGCUAAUUCCGUGCCAGCAGCCGCGGUAAUACGGAAGGUCCAAGCGUUAAUCGGAAUUACUGGGCGUAAAGCGCGCGUAGGUGGUUUAUUAAGUUGGGUGUGAAAGCCCCGGGCUCAACCUGGGAACUGCAUCCAAAACUGAUUCACUAGAGUACGAAAGAGGAAAGCAGAAUUCACAGUGUAGCGGUGGAAUGCGUAGAUAUUGUGAAGAAUACCGAUGGCGAAGGCAGCUUUCUGGUUCUGUACUGACACUGAGGUGCGAAAGCGUGGGUAGCGAACAGGAUU
rnacentral:rRNA from 1 species